CAUGAGUCAGCAGCGGCCGGCGCGGAGACUGCCCAGCCUGCUGGUGGACCCGGCCCAGGAGACGGUGUGCCGCCGCUGCCGGGACCCCAUCAACGUGGAGAGCCUGCUGAUUCUCCCGGCUCCUGUGCUGCGAUCUUCCCAUGGGGAGUGAGGAAUGAUCACCCAAGUCGUUAUGCCCACUCUGCCUGCAAAAAUAUGUUAUGCGCAUUGCCUCACUUAACUCCUCGCAGCAGUCCUAAGACAUCGUCCUUCUUGUCUUACAGUUGUCAGAACGGACUUCAAGUGGCUUGCUUGUAAUUAGCCAUCAAAGAUACGGAUUAAUUUAGAAGAAAAUGUACAGUAUGUAUCCAUGAGAAAAGCUCUGAAAGUGAAGAGGCCUCGUUUUGAUGUAUCACUGGUUUAUUUAACUCGAAAAUUUAUGGAUCUUGUCAGAUCUGCUCCUGGGGGCAUUCUUGACUUAAACAAGGUUGCCACAAAAUUGGGAGUACGAAAACGGCGAGUGUAUGAUAUCACCAAUGUCUUAGAUGGCAUCGAGCUAGUGGAAAAGAAAUCUAAGAAUCAUAUUCGGUGGAUAGGAUCUGAUCUUAAAAAUUUUGGAACAGUGCCCCAACAAAAGAAACUCCAGGAAGAACUCUCCGACUUAUCAGCAAUGGAAGAUGCACUGGACGAGUUAAUCAAAGAUUGUGCUCAACAGCUGCUUGAGUUAACAGAUGACAAAGAAAAUGAAAGACUGGCAUAUGUGACCUACCAGGAUAUUCACAGCAUUCAAGCCUUCCAUGAACAGAUUGUUAUCGCAGUUAAGGCCCCAGAGGAAACCAGACUGGAUGUUCCAGCUCCCAGAGAAGACUCCAUAACGGUGCACAUAAGGAGCACCAAGGGACCCAUUGACGUGUAUUUAUGUGAAGUGGAGCAGAACCACUCAAAUGGCAGCAUGUCUGAUGGAGUAGAGGCCUCCUCCUCUCAGAGCAAACACCCAGAAUGCCCCGAGAAAGAGAGAGAAUGGGUGCACCAGGGCCUCUAACCAUUGCAAAGGGAAAAGAACAUUAUAGUAGUCCUGCAGGACACCAGCUGUCAUCGCUGAGCAAGGAAAUCUUCUUGCCACAGUUGGAGUUCCUGUUUAUUCUGUGUGCCUGAAGAAGGUCAGCUCUCUGCCAUCGACGUGAGAUUAAGAAACGCCUCAGUGAAGUAAAGGCUCAUUCGGGAGGAACUGACAGCAUCUGAGAAACGGACUGAGGUCUUAGAACAUCACAUGUGGAUAAAUUCCACAUUGGUUUAAUUCUCAGCAAUAAAUCGCCGUGAAGUGCUCUCACUCUCCUUUCAUAGCAGCAGUAGGGCCAGUAUGAUCUGAGGAGCUCCCUACUUGAGUAACUGGAUAAUUAUGAUGACCACAUUCAGAAUCCACUUUUGAUCGUUGUUCCCUGCCUUUGUCAGUGAAAAAGACAUCUUGUCUCCUGAAAUAAUUUUAUCACAAGGGAUAGCAUGAAAAUAGAUGGUCAGGUCUGACAAAGACCUCAUAGACGCUGCCUUUCCCUAAAGAAUCAUGUUGUGUUACACAAGAGAAAUUGCCUUACACUGGUUCACGUUUGCAAAUUUGUAAGUGUUGUACACUGACUAGGUGUACACACAGAACUAUAUGUGAUGUCUUUGUAUAUAUCUGUAAAAUAUUUAGAUUACUUGUGAAAUAUGUCUUAAGUCAUACUUUUCACCCUUGUACAGCCAAAAUAAUGUAUAUAUGGAAAGUGACAAACAAAUGCUCUAAUUUCCUUAAUAUCUCUAACUUAUUAGAAUCCUCUGGAUGAGGGUUAGCAGUUUUUUCAAAUUUCUACAUGUAGAAGUGUCACAAAUGUGCUAUACAUUUAAAUUCAUGUACUUAAUUAAACUAUUUUAAUAUGGUUUCCAAUUCUAAAAUUGGAGUCAGGUAUUUGCUGAUUUUCAGCUGCCUACAGUAUCACUGUGUCUCAGUCGAUUGGCAGCUUGCCUUAAGACUUUGGGGGCAAGUAUAGAAAUACUGUCAGGUUACAGAUCAGCUCACGGAGCCGUGAAUUUGGUCAUGGUGAAAUUGGCAAUCACAUGAAGUUUCCUGCAAGCAGGUUUCUGUGGUGUGUUUCUGCACGCAGCCACGCUCCUCGGUCGGGGUUACCCCCCAUGCAUUGUUCCCUGCCCACCUUCCAGCUCUAGUCCCACCUUUCUAGUACCUCGCUGUUUCUACCUCAGUAAGUCACUUACCACUCUGUGCCUCAGUUUACUCAGUAAUUUACCAUAGACUGUGAGCUCCUUGAGAGACCUUAUGGUAGUCAUUGUUCUAUCUCAGCGCCUUGCACCAUGCCUGGUCCAGAAAAAGUGCCCAAUAAAUGUGUGACAAACCAGUGAGUGAGUGUAAAAUGAGACUGAUGGAUUGUAUAGGAUUCUUGUGAGCAUCGUUUGAACUUGUGUUUUUAAUCUUCCUUGCUUUCGCAGAAAGAUUUGAAGCAACUUGAAAUAAAUACCAUGUGCAUAAAGAUUUAAAGUAAGGAUGUAAAGAAAAAAUAACUCACAGUCAGAGCCCCACAGCCUUUUGCAAGUCCUGCCCUCUGCUGGACACUAGCUUCCGCACACCAGCAGCCCCUGCUGGUUAUUUCUAAAUGCCUGGAGCCUGCCAGUAACUACCGAUUUAGCUUCCAGGCAUUUAUCAUGCUCCAAUAUACAGAAAGCUGUUGUUUGAGGUCAGCCAGAAAGCUUCAGGAGACCCUGGUUUUCACCAUGGGACUACUUGGUGGAAUGGUGUGACAAGCUAGGGAACACAGAGACAUAGCUAGGAGGGCCAAAAUAAAAGUUUUUGACAUAUUCAUUGAAAAGUGCAAGAUCUGGCAGUAGCUGUGUCUACUGGAGUGCCUGCAAAACGCCUUAACUUAGUAAGUAGUAGAUUUGGAAGAUGUCAGAUCGUCUAUGAUGGUUGAAACUCUGAGAGCAGAUAAGCUAAUCUCAUGAAAAUAUACAGCAGAGAAGGGGCCCAAGAGCCUCUGUCUCUAGGGAACACAGAAGAAAACCUUGAGAAAAGCAUACUGAAAGGAGAAAAACUGAAGCUAUUGUCCCCUAAAUCAAGGAAGCAUUGGCCAGAGUGAGUAUCUGUUUCUGACUUGUGAAAUAUGACAAGUGCAUUACAUGGUUCUGAGAGCAAAAUGAAUCAUGUCAGCAAGAAUCCUUUGUAAACAAUAACUGUGCUCUAUAAAUGAAGUCUCUGCACUA